ACCAGCGUCCCUGGAUGGUGUUGUCCAGGUGGGCUCCCCAUCCCCAGUCGCUCUGACUCAAGCCAAAGGCGGUAGAAAAGAAACUGAAGGACUGUUGGCUGCGCACUCUAAGUAGCUGCCCAGAGUGGUGUGAGACGGCUGCCGCACGUGCGCAGCCAACCAGGGCACUGUUACUACAAAUCUCUGAUUACAAGCGGAGGGCCCCAAGACACCUAAAGUGGAGCACCCACAGGGACACUCCUCGAAGAAGAACUUAAACUUCUUGAGAGACGAGUUGCGCAAUGCAGGUCCAGGAUAGUGAUGCCGCCGGGGGAUGAGUGUACACAUACUAAAAGCCCUCUUCAGGGACGUAAUAUUUCUUUUCCGCCUUCUUGAAAGUCAGCAUAAUAGAGAAGGGAGAUAGCCACAACGAUUUGGCUAUCUUGAGGACCCUCGGGUGGACAGGCAAUGCAAUCUGUGCUGGGGUGGUGACCGAGAUGACAUUGAAGAAGUUAUCAACCUCCUCUGUGAUCGCCUCAAUUUGCAGACCAAGAUGAACAGUCUCACCUGUGGACCCUGGCCUUAUGAGUGCCCAAGAAUUCCCCAUGCUGGAGCAGCGCUUGCUACGAGCCCUCAAGGACAAGGCUAGAGGGUCCGGGACUGUCCACAGCAGAAGGGGCGUAAGCAUUGAUUCUUGCUUGCUUGCUGGAAAGCACAUAUUUAGUAAUGUGUUAAGGCUGGGAAGCGUAUUAUACUUUGGCAAU